ACCUAACAAUGUCAAGGCAGAGAAAGAAGCUUCUGGGCAGUUAGUGUGUGAAUUAUGAAAGGAAGAUGAAUGGGAGGUACGAAGGUGGGAAAAACAGACUGAAGUAGCUUGUCACUUCUACCUAGGACCAGUCUUGCUUUUAAGUAUAAUGAAUACCAGUGAUGUACAAAGGGGACUCCUGCAUUUUCCCUGUUCCCUGAAGAGAUUAAGAACUUCUGAGUGGAGACAAACGGGAAAAAAUAUUGUUUGUGGAACCUUGCCUAGGCUUGAUGAGAAGGAGGAAAGAGCUCUUACAGCUAAAACUAAUCAGUAACUGUGGUUUCUCCAAACAUGGAAGAAUUUUCCAUCAACAGUCACAAUGGGGAGUGUCUAGUUGGACCAUCAUGGAAGAUGGAUGGGCCUCAAGAAGGUUAGCAGGAUUAAAUGAAGCAAAAAGGAUGGAGCCCUAAUUCAAUAGGAAUGAUGUGAUUAUAAGAAGAGAAAGAGACACCAAAGCACAGAGGCAAGAUGGUGUGAGGACACAAUGGGAAGGUGGCAUCUGCAACUAAGGAGAGAAGCUUCUGGAUAAACCAAAUUUGCUGACCUCUUAACCUUGGACAUCCAGUCUCUAGAACAGUGAAAAAAUUAAUUUCUGUGGUUUAAACUACAUAGUCUUUGCAACUUUGUUAUGGCAGCCCUGGCAGACUAUCAGAAAUGCAUUAAGAUGUUCACAAAAAGAAAUGUACAAAAUGUUCUUAGCAACAUUCUUGUAUUUGGUUAUUCUGAGAAUAACCAAAGCCUAAAAACAGUCCAGAUGUCCAUCAAGUGUAAUUUGUAUAAAUUAUGUUUAUUUAUUCCAAACAAUGUAAUUUGGCAAUGAAAACUAACAGAUUACAGCUAGACACAGCAACAGGAAUAAAUCACAAACAUAAUGUUGAGCCAAAGAACUAAGUACAGAUGAGUACGUCUUGAAUGAUUCUAUUCAUAUAAAGUUAUGAUGAAUCAGUCAAAAUGAAUCUGCUGUGUUAGAAAUCAGGAAUCAGGAGACUGGUUACCCUUGGGGGUCAGUAACAAAAAGGGAGUGAAAAGGGGCUUUCUGAGAUGUUGCUAAUAUCCUGAUCCUCAAUUUCAGUGAAUGCUGGUUACAUGCAUAUGUGUCUUUUGUGAAAAGCCACAGCACCAUCACUUAUGCAGCUUUUUGUGUGUAUAUUAUACUUCAAUAACAACAAGCAAGUGAUAGAUCUGGGACUCAAACCCAGGCUUUGAGGCUCCAAAUCUCUUGUCCUCUCAUUAUAUUGUUUAAAUGGUUUUAUAUUCCAAUUAUAUCAGAUAGUUUUAGAUAUCUGUAUCUAAUUCUUUCACAUAAUCGAUACCAACAACUCUUGUCUUAAAGAUCUAGAACUUUUGCCAUGACUAAAUAGCUCCCAGUAAUAAGGUUCUCUUUACUGAGCUACCCCUUCCUUUUCUUUUCAGAACAUUUUUUGUUCUCUUUAAUUCAGAGAGCUGGUGGCUUCCAUAUUUAUUGUUUUCUCCCAUGAAGCUUAGAAGCUGGCAGGGCUUUUCUGCUCACAAAAUGCCCUGCAUGCUUACACUGAGUGGAAGUUUCCCAUGCUGAGUCAUGCUGGGAAUAUGGAAAAGCCCCUGGCUUUAAAAGUUCCCAGAAACUAUUUAAUCUUCAGUUCAUCAAACGCACCCAGAUUCUAAUUAUGGCAAGACGCAGUACAUGGAUUUUCACUUCUUACUUUCAACUCAUAAUUUUUCAUUUAAAUCUCCCAACUAUUUACUCUUUCACCUAAUUUUUUUUUAAUCUAACCCAUUUUUUUCCACAUGAUGAAAUCAACUGAGACAUGUUUCUGAAGUGUGGCACAAGCCAGAGGAAGGGCCCUCAUGUCCACGGAUUCUCUAUUUACUAAUUUAAAAAUAAUUAAACCUAAAAAGUGUUCAUGUCAAAGCCUUUAAUAUAUUUUCAUUCCUUAUCAACAGUUCUAAUUGGCAUUUACAUCCAUUUCUAGGUCUACAUUAUCUUAUGAUAAAAUAACUUUAUUUUACUAUGAAAUAAAUAUGAUUAAAGAAAGAAACAUAACCAAAAUCCUUGGAGAGUAAAAAAUAUAUACAUAGGUCAUUUUUUCCCCUUCUCUGCUAUUAUAACACCUCCCGUUAUCAGUUCUCUAAAAGAACAAUUCCAAACCUCAGAGUGUGCUGAGUCAGUUUAUCAGCUUCUCUGCCACUUGCUUACUAGUAUUUUUUGGACAACAAUCAUACCCACCUCUCUGCCACACUCGCAGGAAAGAUAUUUAUUUCCACAUAUGCCCUCCUGGCUUCUGCACAUCUAGAUUCCUGUUCCCCUCUCCAAAAGCUGUUGCUAGCAGUCACAUUUUUUUCUGCUGAUCAAAGAAGAAAAGCAAAAUCCAUCUCUCCUUCUCUCCCUCCCUCCUUUUCUCUCUCCCUCCCUCCUUAAAUCCCUUUUUCCCACUUAACUUUUGGAAAAACAAUUGCGCAAGAAAUUAGAAAACCCCAAAGAUAGUAUUUUCAAAUUUCAACAAAAUUAUAAAAGAUACACCUUUUUAUUUGUGCCUCAGGAUGCACAGAAAAUAAUGGAUUUUCAUAUGGAAAAAAAUAAAUUUCAAUGUUUCAAG
rnacentral:lncRNA from 10 species